AACGAACGCUGGCGGCAUGCCUAACACAUGCAAGUCGAACGACGCCUCCGGGCAUAGUUGCUCUCGCGUGCGUAACGCGUCGGACUCGGCCGUUCGGCUCCGAAUUAUACAUGUUAAUUUGGGCUAACACCGGAUAACUUCCCAUGACCAAACAUACAUCCUACAAGGAUGAGCGCGCGAGGGAUUAGCCAGUUGGUGUGGUAUAGGCCCAUCAAGGCGUCGAUACUUAGCUGGUUUGAGAGCAUCCUCAGCGACACUGGGUAGGAGAAACGGCCGGGACUCCUGCGGGAGGCGGGAGUGGGGGAUAUUGGACUAUGGGGGAGGGCCUGAUCCAGCAAUGCCGCGUGAGUGAUGAAGGCCUUAGGGAUGUAAAGCUGUUUUACCCGGGAAGAUACUGACGGUACCGGGAGAAUAAGCCCCGGCUAACUCCGUG
rnacentral:rRNA from 1 species